rnacentral:rRNA from 1 species
GUAGCCGAGUGACGGUACUUUAUUAGAAAGCCACGGCUAACUACGUGCCAGCAGCCGCGGUAAUACGUAGGUGGCAAGCGUUAUCGGAAUUAUUGGGCGUAAAGAGGGAGCAGGCGGCAGCAAGGGUCUGUGGUGAAAGCCUGAAGCUUAACUUCAGUAAGCCAUAGAAACCAGGCAGCUAGAGUGCAGGAGAGGAUCGUGGAAUUCCAUGUGUAGCGGUGAAAUGCGUAGAUAUAUGGAGGAACACCAGUGGCGAAGGCGACGAUCUGGCCUGCAACUGACGCUCAGUCCCGAAAGCGUGGGGAGCAAAUAGGAUUAGAUACCCUAGUAGUCCACGCCGUAAACGAUGAGUACUAAGUGUUGGAUGUCAAAGUUCAGUGCUGCAGUUAACGCAAUAAGUACUCCGCCUGAGUAGUACGUUCGCAAGAAUGAAACUCAAAGGAAUUGACGGGGGCCCGCACAAGCGGUGGAGCAUGUGGUUUAAUUCGAAGCAACGCGAAGAACCUUACCAGGUCUUGACAUACUCAUAAAGGCUCCAGAGAUGGAGAGAUAGCUAUAUGAGAUACAGGUGGUGCAUGGUUGUCGUCAGCUCGUGUCGUGAGAUGUUGGGUUAAGUCCCGCAACGAGCGCAACCCUUAUCGUUAGUUACCAUCAUUAAGUUGGGGACUCUAGCGAGACUGCCAGUGACAAGCUGGAGGAAGGCGGGGAUGACGUCAAAUCAUCAUGCCCCUUAUGACCUGGGCUACACACGUGCUACAAUGGAUGGUGCAGAGGGAAGCGAAGCCGCGAGGUGAAGCAAAACCCAUAAAACCAUUUCA